GUCACCUUCUCAUGGUGAGACUCCUCAAUCAGCUUCUUGGUGUGCUCCAGUUCUCUGACCAGGCCGUUCUGACGGACAGGAGGAGAAUCAGGAAUCAGACUCUCUGAGCAACUUUCAGGUAUCUGAAGAAGCUGAGCACUGAUAGUGUGAAGCUCUCAAAGCCCCGGUGGGUUUCCUCACCUUGCCGUUGGUGCUGGGCGU